rnacentral:rRNA from 1 species
AGUCGAACGCAGUAGCAAUACUGAGUGGCAAACGGGUGAGUAUAAUGUGGGAAUCUGCCUUUUGGUUUGGAAUAACACGGGGAAACUUGUGCUAAUACCGAAUAAGCCCUUACGGGGAAAGUUUUAAUGCCGAAAGAUGAGCCUGCAUUUGAUUAGCUAGUUGGUAAGGUAAAGGCUUACCAAGGCAACGAUCAAUAGCUGUUCUUAGAGGAAGACCAGCCACAUUGGGACUGAGACACGGCCCAGACUCCUACGGGAGGCAGCAGUGGGGAAUCUUGCACAAUGGGGGAAACCCUGAUGCAGCGAUGCCGCGUGAGUGAAGAAGGCCCUUGGGUUGUAAAACUCUUUCGUCGGGGAAGAAAAUGACUGUACCCGAAUAAGAAGGUCCGGCUAACUUCGUGCCAGCAGCCGCGGUAAUACGAAGGGACCUAGCGUAGUUCGGAAUUACUGGGCUUAAAGAGCUCGUAGGUGGUUAAAAAAGUUGAUGGUGAAAUCCCAAGGCUCAACCUUGGAACUGCCAUCAAAACUUUUUAGCUAGAGUGUGACAGAGGUAAGUGGAAUUUCUAGUGUAGAGGUGAAAUUCGUAGAUAUUAGAAAGAACACCAAAUGCGAAGGCAACUUACUGGGUCACUACUGACACUGAGGAGCGAAAGCAUGGGUAGCGAAGAGGAUUAGAUACCCUCGUAGUCCAUGCCGUAAACGAUGUGUGCUAGACGUUGGAAAUAUAUUUUUCAGUGUCGCAGCGAAAGCAUUAAGCACACCGCCUGGGGAGUACGACCGCAAGGUUAAAACUCAAAUGAAUUGACGGGGACCCGCACAAGCAGUGGAGCAUGUGGUUUAAUUCGAAGAUACGCGCAGAACCUUACCAACACUUGACAUGUUCGUCGCGAAACUA